rnacentral:misc_RNA from 1 species
GAUGAAGAACGUAGCGAAAUGCGAUAAGUAAUGUGAAUUGCAGAAUUCAGUGAAUCAUCGAAUCUUUGAACGCACAUUGCGCCCGCCAGUAUUCUGGCGGGCAUGCCUGUUCGAGCGUCAUUACAACCCUCAGGCCCCCGGGCCUGGCGUUGGGGAUCGGCGGAAGCCCCCUGUGGGCACACGCCGUCCCUCAAAUACAGUGGCGGUCCCGCCGCAGCUUCCAUUGCGUAGUAGCUAACACCUCGCAACUGGAGAGCGGCGCGGCCAUGCCGUAAAACACCCAACUUCUGAAUGUUGACCUCGAAUCAGGUAGGAAUACCCGCUGAACUUAAGCAUAUCAAUAAGCGGAGGAA